UACGAAGGGGGCUAGCGUUGCUCGGAUUUACUGGGCGUAAAGGGCGCGUAGGCGGACAGUUUAGUCAGAGGUGAAAGCCCAGGGCUCAACCUUGGAAUUGCCUUUGAUACUGGCUGUCUUGAGUACGGGAGAGGUGAGUGGAACUCCGAGUGUAGAGGUGAAAUUCGUAGAUAUUCGGAAGAACACCAGUGGCGAAGGCGACUCACUGGCCCGUUACUGACGCUGAGGCACGAAAGCGUGGGGAGCAAACAGG
rnacentral:rRNA from 1 species